rnacentral:rRNA from 1 species
UACGUAGGGUGCAAGCGUUAAUCGGAAUUACUGGGCGUAAAGCGUGCGCAGGCGGUUGUGCAAGACAGAUGUGAAAUCCCCGGGCUCAACCUGGGAACUGCAUUUGUGACUGCACAGCUUGAGUGCGGCAGAGGGGGAUGGAAUUCCGCGUGUAGCAGUGAAAUGCGUAGAUAUGCGGAGGAACACCGAUGGCGAAGGCAAUCCCCUGGACCUGUACUGACGCUCAUGCACGAAAGCGUGGGGAGCAAACAGG